UUAACUGUAUCUUAAGUUAACUGAAAGUUCUGAAAGUUAAUGUAAGCUUUUCUUUGGAAAACUGAGUGGAUAUAGACAUGCCCCUUUAGGGAUGAGCAUUUUGGUACAGUGCAUUGUUAUAUAUAUAUAUAUAUGUGUAUGUUUCAUUUUCUGCAGGUUUUUUUAAACUGUAUCUUAAGUUAACUGAAAGUUCUGUAAGUACUGAAAGUAAUGUAAGCUUUUCUUUGGAAAACUACCUGGUAUACUUUGGUACAAUUUCUAAAUGUUCAGUUUUACUGAGUGAAGGCAAUGGUUUUGUGCUGCUCAAAAGUUCAAGUGAACUCAAGUGAGUUUCUGGAAUCUCAUACAAGAGAAUUUUCUGUUACUGUUCUCUUAAUGUUUUUGUGACUGUAAAAUAAAUCCAUAGAGUGGAGAGUUACAAUGUAUGACAGAAUGCAAAUUUGUAACAGCAUAUAAGCAUUUGGUAUGUAUGCAGAAUAUAAAUGUAUAUUUAUGGUUGGUUUUAUGUAUAAUAAUGAUAUUUUGGUGGGGUUACAUCACUGGGCUUUAUUACAUCAUGUCCAAUCACCUUGGAUUUAUUCCAUUAAAAUUUGGGUUGCUCAUAAUGCAAGGAAUUGUAAAUAGAAAACUGUUAAUAGCUCUCAGGUGUGUGCGUGUGUGUCUCUAAUGCAUACGACUUCCUGUGGUAGUGGAAGCUUAGUGAUUAAAAUGUUUGAUUACUGGUGAGAAUCAAGCCCUACUACUGCCAAGCUGCCACUGUUGGGUCCUGGAGCAGAACCCUUAACACUCAACUGCACAGAUGCAGUUUAAUGUAGAAAAAUGUAAGUCACUACGAAUAAGGGCUUCUGCCAAAAUGAUGUAAAUAUGGAACAAAUGAUAAUGCAAAUGUUGUAGUCUUGGAGAAGUUCUGUUUCCUCUGGUGGUACCAUCAGAACUAAGCUGGUAAGUGGGUUGUUUAUUUAAAAUAUAUUUUACAAUCUAUAACUUCCAUUGUAAGAUUAAAAUUUUGUCUCCCUUCCAAUAGGCUAAGCCUAACAUGUCCAGUGGUCCCAAAAUGAAGUGACGCUCAACUGAAUGCUUCUGGACAUUAAUAACUUUCCAGCACAGUCAAGAGCUGCUAAGUUACACUCAGCCCUGUCCUGCUGCUGAAUAUUCUCUCCCUGACACUUCAACAAGGACCUGUCAUUAAGGAUAUUAAUUCUACAGGAAGGCAACACCGUGAAAAUAUCUUGACAGCUUGCUGAUCCAUUUAAGGCAACUUUUAUGCCUUUGGACUAUUCAAAACUUUGAACUUUUGUCUGCCUAUGAACUUGAGAGAGAGGAGGGCAUCUCUGGUAAUUCUAUUCAAGCAUGUUCUUUACUCCAAACUACCACCUUUGUAUGUAACUGAGGCAAAUAAGUUUCAUUACUUGUAACAAUCAAGCUGAAGUAUCCUAAUGAGCUCUGGUUUAUUUUGAAUUUAUUUGUUAAAGAAGCAUACCUUAAUUUAAGGAUUGCUUCUGAUUAAUAAAAUAUUAAAUCCAACUUUCAAUUUGUGUUUUUUUCCCAUUGUUUAGUAAUAUUUAACCAAAAGUGUUUGAGGUUUUAAAUAAACUAGUUCUAAGAGAUAUGUUUUGAGUAAUAAACUGUUGAUGACAAUCACAACUGACAGUAUUCACUGAUAAAUUGCUUGUUUUGUUGAGCUAUUUUUGUUGAAUUUUUAGAUUAAAUGUUUUAUUAAUUGUACAGUAAGGCACUGUCAUAUUCAAUGGCAAAACCUUUAUUUAUACAAAAUAUAAAGAAGAAAAAAUUAUACUAAAUAAGAAGUGUUUGAUUUUACUCACAUUGAAACAUUUCAUGUGGCCAAAACUCAUAUGUAUACAAUAUGUUCAUAUUAUUUUUUAUUAGUUGUACAGAAAAUAGCUUUCAUUCUAUGGUAAAAACUUGUAUUAAUUUGGCAUGGCUAUAGUAUUUGCUUGUUAAUUAUAUGGAAAAAUAGCUUUCUUUCUAUGGUAAAAAAAUCACUUAUUUAUACGGUAAAAUAUGGCCUCAAACUCCAAACUUAACCGUAAAAUUAACAGUCUUAAUACACUGUUACCGUGAUAGUGAAAAAGGUUCUGCCGUAUUUAUUAACCACAGCUGCCAGUUUUUUACCGUAAAAACAACAGUUGUUUUUUUUUUUUUUUUUUUUUAACAGUGUAGCAGAAUAUUAGAGACAAAAUAAGUUAAGAUUAUUUUGAUCUUAGAUCUUAUUGUAAGAUCUAAUUGUAUCCAAUUAUAUGCUUUUCAAUUUCCGGAUUUUCAACUAUGCAAGCUGCUCUUGGGUUAAUUUCUAAAAGCACUUUAAUCAUUAGUAACAAAUGUUAAUAACAAUUAAAGUUAAACCACUGCUGUUUUAAUUUAUACAAAAAUAAAAAACUGCAUUAAUUAUUGUGAGCAAUAUGUUCCUGUACAUAGCAUGAUAGCAAAUUACUUUAAAGUACAGUGAUAUGUGAGCCUAAAGGUACUCAACAGUCUUGUUUGUCCUGAUGUAGCCUAAAAAUGUGAGGUUGAUGUUCCUUGCAAAAAACAUUAAUUUUAGAAAAAUUGCAACAAUUACUAUCAUUUCCAGUGUUUGGUGGCAAUGUUGUGAGUGAUUUAUUUUUCCUUUUUGUUAGCUAUGUGACAAUGCUUAAAUUGCUAAUGUGCCAGGUUAACAUUUUAUAAAAUAUAUAUUGUAUAUUUUAAUAAUAAACCUGUGGUCUGUUUUACUGUUACUGUGGUGACUGAGGUUUCCGUUUUUGUAUCAUCCUACUAGUGUUUCAGAUGACUCUUGUGACCUUUCUUUAAUCUUAAUUUUUAUUGUA